UACGUAGGUCACAAGCGUUAUCCGGAGUUACUGGGCGUAAAGAGAUGCGUAGGUGUUCUGGUAAGUUUUCGGUUAAAUACUUCAGCUUAACUGAAGGGCUGCCGAAAAAACUAUCAGAAUAGAGGGAGAGAGAGGAGAAUGGAAUUUCUGGUGGAGCGGUAAAAUGCGUUGAUAUCAGAAAGAACACCAAUGGCGAAGGCAAAUUCUCUGGCUCUUCACUGACACUAAGGCUCGAAAGCGUAGGUAGCAAAAACGG
rnacentral:rRNA from 1 species